UACGGAGGGUGCAAGCGUUAUCCGGAUUCACUGGGUUUAAAGGGUGCGUAGGUGGGCAGGUAAGUCAGUGGUGAAAUCUCCGGGCUUAACCCGGAACUGCCGUUGAUACUAUCUGUCUUGAAUAUAGUGGAGGUGAGCGGAAUAUGUCAUGUAGCGGUGAAAUGGCUUAGAUAUGACAUAGAACAUCGAUUGCGAAGGCAGCUCGCUACGCUAUUAUUGACAGUGAGGCACGAAAGCGUGGGGAUCAAACAGG
rnacentral:rRNA from 1 species